AGAUCAUAGUAGACAUAUAUGUAUAGAUCAUCAUUAUUAAAUUAUUAAUAAUGCAUUAACAAAUACCUACUAUACUCUACACUUUCAUUUAUUUUAAUUGAUCCUGCUGGAUUUUAUAACCGCCAUAUUGCUAGAUCGAUCAUAUUUCAUUUUAGACGUAUACAGGUGGUUGUCGAAGAUCAAGACGAAAGACGAUCUGUCAGAAUCAUAAAUUUACUUCAUCAAGUAAAUAAGAUAUGUGACGUGUCAAAGA
rnacentral:lncRNA from 1 species